AAAUCAAAAGAAAAAGCAGAUGCAGAAGCAGAAGAACCAGAACCAGAAGGAGGAGGAGAAACACAAACAUAAGCACGCUUUGAAUCAGUAUUCUAAACAAACGAUUCGUUGAAGUUUUCAACACUUCAGUAAACAGUGUUUCGAGCGCACAUUCACUACUUUGUGUCAGUUUAGUGUUUAAAAUGGUCCGUUCGUGUGCGUACCCUGGAUGCGGAAAACUUUUAAAACCUAAAAGAUUACGUCCGCGAGGAGAUAACUUGACUUCUCACAAAUUUCCUUUACCCAAUCCUGAGCGAUUGAAGCUGUGGUUGCUCGCGCUCUGCAUGGACGUCAACACACCCGAAGAUUCCCUGAUACACAAGAGAGUGUGCGGUGAUCAUUUUUACGACGAGGAUUACCACCACUCCGACAAAGGACACCGUCGUUUGCUCAAAUCUUCGGCUGUGCCCAUAACGUUUUUAAGGCAAGCAGAGCCUGAUGAAAAGCCAGAGUCCUUAGCAACACACAGUGAAGCAGAGCUGGAGGUCCAGGGAGCAGGAGCAUUUUGGACUAAUGCUCCACAGUCAACACCAGUAAAAAACACCACUAGGCAGUUUACAGAGGCUUAUUCUAAAUUUUUAGUGAUCAGAAGUCCAGAAACUGCACAAAAAGGGACAAAUACAUCAACAUCUGGGACAUAUUAUGCCUUCCCUCCAGUACGCUCCCACCAGUCUGUAAAUGCCAACAUUUGUGAUCAGCUAAACAAGUUGAAUAUGCCUCCCAUGUACAUUAAACCGGAACAGACAGAAGAUCAAUAUGAAGAAAAUGUGAAGCCUGAUGUUAGCAUGCUGCCCAUAGAUCCUUCGUCGGACAAAAAAGAUGUUCGUGUUCAGCCACUAAGUUCAACUUCAGCCUCAAGCACAGAAGAUGAGGAAUGUGAGAAGAAUUUGAAAACAACACUAUGGAUUGUCAAUGAGCCCAGUCUCAUGGAGCUUUUCAAAAGAUGUCAAGAAUGUGGCUCGCUAAUAACAGAAACCAGAAAAGCAACAGUGGGAAGUCUUCUCCGUGUUUACUGGACAUGUGAAAAAAACCACAAGGGACAGUGGAGUUCCUGCACCGAAGUUCGACGAAUGCCUGCUAAUAGCCGUCUUGUUUCUGCAUGCACACUACUCACUGGAGCACUCUAUGCUCAACCUUCAAAUACCCAAGAAAACUACUUACCAUGCAAUUCAGUCUUCUUACCUUCUCUACCUUAUCAUUACCGAAUUAUAUCAAGAACAACAGAAAACAGCAGUUAAUGACUUACAUGACCAAAAUGAACUCCAGAAUCCAGUUCAGUUGUCAGGGGAUGGGAGAUCAGACAGGAGGACCUCGGUACAAGGUUGUUUUGCAGAAACGCACCAAAGAAUGGAUAGGCACAGCGAUUUUCAAACCCACCACUCAAAAAUUGAGAAACUCUGGUUGAGAAAGUUCUACAGUGGUGCCUGGACCCCCAGCAUUGCUUUCAAGGACAGUUUUUCUCAUUUGCCUCAUCCUCCAUUGCUGUAGAACAUUUCCAUAAAAGCAAGGUCUGACAAGCGAGAAGUAAUUACAAUGAGAUAAUGAAGAUUUGGACAGUAAUUUACUUUGAAAAAAUGUCAAAUGUAAUAUUACUGUUAUUACUCAUUUUGUAACAGUUUUGAUAUUUUGGUACUUUUUUUAUAAUUGAGGAAUACACCAUUGCUAAAAUUAUGUAUUUUUUGUGUUAGUGUGAAUAUUUUGGUCAUUACUGAAUGUACCCUACAUCAGUAUUCUCAAAUACAUAGAGUUGCAUUUACACAUGAAAAACUGUAGUUACCUCAUUGUUUUUUUUUUUCUAUUCUUCCAAGUAAACUUACAUGUGAGAUGACAAAAAAAGUCUACAGUGUUGAUAUAUAUGC